rnacentral:lncRNA from 1 species
CCAACCCAUGAGCAUUUUCAUCCAAUUAACCCCUGUCCUGCUGAGGAGGGACAGUGAGUGGCUGGUAGGCAUCUCGCAGCUGGCUGAGGUCAACCCACUGCAGCAUGUAAUGCACUGCAGUACUGCUGUUUGGAGAGUUGAGAAAAAAGUUACAAGGUGUACAGAGAAAGAUCAAAACGUCCAUCAGACUGAUUAUUUGUUGCAGAUGCUGUUUCCAGAUCCUAAUUAUGCUGAUAUCUUUUAAGCAACCACUAAUGAUAUGUCUGCUGUUGCUAUGAAAAUGCAUGCAAAGUAGAAGUGCACAUUAAGAGAAAUGGGGUUGAAGGUAUGAAGGAACUGUCGUAUUCUGAGAAUUAAUAAAUGGAUCUGGACAGGCUGGAUAGCUGGGCUG